CAUUGGAAGUAACUUCUUGUCAAAGCCUGAUCUUGACACGUCUCAGAAGCUAAGCAGGGCCAGACUUGGUUAGUACUUGGAUGGGAGGCCCCGGCAAUACCAAGUGCCACAGUGG
rnacentral:rRNA from 1 species